AGAAUCAACGCUGGCGGCGUGCCUAACACAUGCAAGUCGCACGAGAAAGGGUAGCAAUACCUGAGUACAGUGGCGCACGGGUGAGUAACACGUGACUAAUCUACCUUUGAGUGGGGAAUAACCUGGGGAAACCCGGGCUAAUACCGCAUAAUACCUACGGGUCAAAGCAGCAAUGCGCUUAAAGAGGAGGUCGCGGUCGAUUAGUUAGUUGGCGGGGUAAUGGCCCACCAAGACGAUGAUCGAUAUCCGGCCUGAGAGGGCGCACGGACACACUGGAACUGAAACACGGUCCAGACUCCUACGGGAGGCAGCAGUGGGGAAUUUUGCGCAAUGGGGGAAACCCUGACGCAGCAACGCCGCGUGGAGGAUGAAGUAUCUUGGUACGUAAACUCCUUUCGAUAGGGAAGAUAAUGACGGUACCUAUAGAAGAAGCCCCGGCUAACUUCGUGCCAGCAGCCGC
rnacentral:rRNA from 1 species